rnacentral:ncRNA from 1 species
AUUUAAUUUGGCUUUAGUUAUAUAUAUAGGCUAUAACUAAUUUUAUAUAUGCUAGAAUUGUUAAUUGUCGUUUUAUUUAAAUUAUUAUUAGUUGGUUAAUUUAAUAUUAAUCAAUUAGUAGUGUAUAUUAUUAAUAUAAUAUUAAUAUAAUAAAUAAUAGGUUACGCAGUAUUUAUAAUUAUACAAUGAAUGAAAGUUUGAUAUAGUUAAUGUUUUUAAAAGUGGUUUAAUUGGUGCCAGCAGCUGCGGUUAUACCUAUACUUUAAGUCUAUAUAAAUAUAGUAUAAAAUAAAGUAAUAAGUUAUUGUAUAAUUUUUAGAAUUAAUGAGUAAAACAAUUGUAGGUAAAAUUUAAUUGUUUUAAUUAAUUAAAUAAUUCUAAUAUUAGUUCUUUGAAAAUAAGGUGUUUGUAAACUAGGAUUAGAGACCCUAUUAUUCUUUAUUUUAAAAAUUUAUUUACUUAAGUAGUACGAAUAAAAUAAAAACCUUUUUUAUUUUGUUUUUGUUUGAAACUUAAAAAGCUUGGCGGUGUUAUAUAUCCUUCCAGGGGAGCUUGCUUAUUAAUUUGAUAAUCCCCAAUUUAUACUCACUUCUUUUUGAAUUUUUAACAGUUUGUAUAUUGCUGUCGUCAGUUUAUUUUGUAAAAAUUUUGUAAAAAACUUAAUAACGUUUGGGUUAUAAUGUCAAGUCAAAAUGCAGUAGAUGGAGAAGGUUUUAAAGUGAGCUACAAUUUAUAAUAUUUAAUCGGAUUAAAAUAGUGUAAUUCUAUUUAUGAAGUUGGACUUGGUAGUAAUAACUAGUAAUAGUAAGUCUAUAUGAAUUAGGUUUUAUAAUGCGUACAUAUCGCCCGUCGCUCUUGUUGGGAAAUAAGAUAAGUCGUAACAUAGUAGGAGUAGUGGAAGCUGCUCCUGGAAUGAA